UGUGCGGGGAUCAGCUCGCGCGGGCGCCUGUUCGUUCCUACGGGGGAGGGGUCUCCCUAGCGGGGGCGGGGGUGGAGGAUGUUCCGGGAUCCGUAUUACCCCAACACGGAUCUGAAAAUCCAGCCGAGGCCUUAGGCAGCCGGCGAGAGGUGGCUUCGAAGGCUGCAGCUCGGUGCGCUCUGUCCUCUGUCCGCUCUCCCCGACCCUUCUCCUCCCCUCCCCGCGCUGGGCGCAGCUGCGGGUCUGUCCCGGGCCGAGCUCGGGGCUCAGGCCUCUCCAGCUGGGAAGGUGGAAGUGCGGACCCGAGCUGCGAGCUGCGGUGUGGUGUGGGGUUGGUCCAUGGAGGACUCUGGAGGGGACAGAGCCCGGGCACAAGAGCCCCAGAUGGGGACUCUGAUGGUUACCGAGGCAACGAUGAUAGCACUAAGCUAUUUCCCUCUCUGCAAGGAGACCAUUAUUCCGCAUGCAUAGGCCAUUUGCAGCAGAGGUCGUCACAAAGUCAGCCACAACACCGCACACGUUUAUUAAACUUUUAUUCUCUUUUUCUUCCCCCAACACAGAAACUAGUUUGCACUUGUCGCGGGCGGGGGGGUGGGGGUGGGGAUCGUUGUCCGGGCUCUGUAUUAGUAAUAACCGGCCUGGAGAGCCAUGGGGCCCCGGGGUAAACAGCCAUCCGCACGCCGACGCCGCGGGCUCGCGCUGGGGCAUCUGCCCCGUCGCGGUCACCUCCGACAACCUCUUGGACUUCGGGGCUGCAACUAAUGGAAGAUUCUCAAAGAAAUCGUUUCCUAGCAGAACGACUUGAUACCAUUGUGGAAACAGACGUUAUUCAGGGCAUUAUCUGUUUCAUUCUUCAGUCAAGGACAUUUGGAACCCACAAAUCACUCAGGGGAUAAAGAUCCGCACCAGACUCAACCGCAGACACCUCCACAAGAGAAAACACCUGUCAGCCACAGAAAUUACGCUUUGCCAGCUCCACCUGGCUCUGCGGGCAGAGCAGUGCCCACGCGAGCUUCUCAGUUCCCUGCGAGGAGUGAGGGGUCUGUUUUGCAACUGCCCUCUCUAGGAAUAAAAUCACGAGCUAGAGCAUGGCUCUCCCACGAGUACUUGUCUUUAUAAAGUGUUGAUGCUAUUCAAACGAUAGUGCUGGUAUGGACGACAACAGGUCCAUGGGUUGUACUCCCAAGUGCACAGCAUCUAACCCCCCAGAUACCUUUCAUUCUUUUGUCUCGUUCUCAGCUCCAGUAGUUCCUCCAAUUCCUGCUGCUUCUCCUGAUAUUCUUCUCCCUCCAAAGUCAAAGCCAUUUUUUUCUUACUUUGGGGCCCUGAAGGUUUUCUACGGGAUUGUAUUGUCUCCCCCAUUUCUCCUUCCUUCCCUCUCAACCCAUAUACACGCGCUUUGUCCUCUGUUGUUUCUCCUUGCAGUGUCAGUGGCAUUUGUUGUUUUUUCCCCUCUCCCUAUGGAGAAUGACUGUGGCCCAACUUCCUAACUUUUCUUUGUCACACAGAUGUUUUAUGUUCUAAUGCACAUCCAGGAGAGACAGAGACCACCAGUUCAUUUCACACAGGCCACCGAACAGUCCUAAGAUGGUGACAACUUUUGGUCUGUGGUGACCUGGACUGGCUUCGACUCACUGACCUCGAGGUGAAAGGCUCUGUAUUCCAUUACUAAUCCCUUGAGCUAUCCAGCCCCCUGAAAAUGAUUCUUUGGUUUUAUUAUUGCAAAGACCAUUUAUAAAAUCAUGAACUGGAUUUAGGAAAGCAACCAUGAAAUAGCAAGGGACAACAAACUGAUUGAAAUUCCUUAAAUGUAGUGUGGGCUGAAGUCUCGGAUACCGUAGGACUGGGGAGAAAGCGAUACAUAGGCACCUCCGUCCUUAUUUCAACAGCAUGACCUGCUGCUCACUUAAACGUGGCAACUCUAGAUCCACUGACCAUGCCUCAAGAAACUAAAUCCUAAAUAAAGAAAAUGGAAAA